AACGACUGCUAAGACUGGAUUUUAUGGAGAUAAGAAGGCAUCUUUUUAUUUUUAAAAGCACCUAGCAAUAGGUAUGCUUAGGGAAGAGCUUGCGUCACAUUAGUUAGUUGGUGGGGUAAUGGCCUCACCAAGACACGAUGUAUGUGUAGCCGGGCUGAGAGGUCGAACGGCCACAUUGGGACUGAGACACGGCCCAAACUCCUACGGGAGGCAGCAGUAAGGAAUUUUCGGCAAUGGAGGAAACUCUGACCGAGCAAUGCCGCGUGAACGAUGAAGUAUUUCGGUACGUAAAGUUCUUUUAUUAGGGAAGAAAAGAUGGUGGAAAAACCAUUAUGACGGUACCUAAUGAAUAAGCCCCGGCUAACUAUGUGCCAGCAGCCGCGGUAAUACAUAGGGGGCAAGCGUUAUCCGGAAUUAUUGGGCGUAAAGGGUGCGUAGGCGGUUAAAUAAGUUUAUGGUCUAAGUGCAACGCUCAACGUUGUGAUGCUAUAAAAACUGUUUAGCUAGAGUUGGAUAGAGGCAAGUGGAAUUCCGUGUGUAGUGGUAAAAUGCGUAAAUAUACGGAGGAACACCAGAAGCGAAAGCGGCUUGCUGGGUCUUAACUGACGCUGAGGCACGAAAGCGUGGGGAGCAAACAGGAUUAGAUACCCUGGUAGUCCACGCCCUAAACGAUGAGUACUAAACGUUGGAUAAAACCAGUGUUGAAGUUAACACAUUAAGUACUCCGCCUGAGUAGUACGUACGCAAGUAUGAAACUUAAAGGGAUUGACGGGACUCCGCACAAGCGGUGGAUCAUGUUGUUUAAUUCGAAGGUACCCGAAAAACCUCACCAGGUCUUGACAUGCUUUUGCAAAGCUGUAGAAAUACAGUGGAGGUUAUCAGAAGCACAGGUGGUGCAUGGUUGUCGUCAGCACGUGUCGUGAGAUGUUGGGUUAAGUCCCGCAACGAGCGCAACCCUUGUUGUUAAUUGCCAUCAUUAAGUUGGGGACUUUAGCAAGACUGCCAAUGAUAAAUUGGAGGAAGGUGGGGACGACGUCAAAUCAUCAUGCCCCUUAUGACCUGGGCUACAAACGUGAUACAAUGGCUGUUACAAAGGGUAGCUAAAGCGUAAGCUUCUGGUGAAUCUCAAAAAAGCAGUCUCAGUUCGGAUUGAAGUCUGCAACUCGACUUCAUGAAGUUGGAAUCGCUAGUAAUCGCGAAUCAGCAUGUCGCGGUGAAUACGUUCACGGGGUUUGUACACACCGCCCGUCA
rnacentral:rRNA from 2 species